AAAAAGAUUUAUAACUUAAUAACGACAGUUAAGGUCAAAUUAUUGUGUCUGAAUUUUCUUACUUGUAACGUUUUUAUUUGCAGCCCAAAACUUUACAGGACCCCGGAAUCAUUAACUGGCCGGAUAUGGCGCCACGGUACAUGGUCAGCAGAAAGAUGGCGGACUCCGAGUACAAGUCAUCGUAUAUACCGGAUAUACGAGAUAACCCGGUGGCCCCACUGUACCCCCGCGUCAAUACGGCCAUCAUGAAGCUGCCUCUGGACCCAGAGAAGUUUUGGAGACAGAGAGGAACCAACAUCAAGUUAGGCAGCGACGCCCCACAGCUGUUCAGUGAACACCAGAGAGUAUACGGCGUGGGCCGAGAGGGGGCCCCUGACGGGUUUAUCAGGGAGAAGGGCGACAUGGGCAGGGAGGUCAGCAAGAAGAUGAAGGACAUGUCCAAAUUUUCCCACGUGUUCAGGACCGGUGAUUACAAUGGAAUAGUUGGGAGUUUUCAGACGACGGUUAAUGAUGAGUUCGGGCCCCGAACCCUGCCGCCGGCUGAGCACGCCGCUCGAGCCAUCAAGGCUUCACAGAUGAGGUUGGAUAAAAAGAAGGGAAAAGAGGAUUCCGAAGACAGUGGCGUGGAGAGUUCUACGUCAUCAGGUUCUCUUCCUGACGACAACACACGUGUCAAUCACCUAGCGGCGCAUGCCCGGCAGACGACAGUUCCAAAAGUCUUUAAAGAUGCUUUUGACGAGCGUAGUUACCAGACGGCGGCACACUUUCAGUUUGGAUCCGACCCCAGUACCAUUCAUACCGUUUACGGCAAAGACUUUGCCCCAGGAUCCAUGGCCGCCCGAGGACCUCCACAGAAAUGUCUGGUACCAGACGCAGGGAGAUUACUCCAGAACGACCCCGCCUAUGCCCCAAUGAUGUCCACGUCCAACCAGACGGACUACAGCUACACGCCUGCGGCGCCCACUCUGAAUGCAGAGGGGAAAACUCAAAUGGAGGUGAACAUAGAGAAGCGUCAUACGGACAACGUCAUCUUCAGUUUCGACAGGUCACGUCACGCGGCGGAUCGCCAAACCUCACUGGCCCAUACCGACUACCGGGGACCACCAGCCGGCUAUCGACCCAUGGAGCCAAUGGCCAGACCGGAAGUGGAGUUCGAUUACCUGACUCCUAAUGACGCUCUCCCGUAUCCUCCCGCCGAGAACCGCACAUCUGAAGCCAAGAACAACUUCAUAGGAACGUUCAUGUCCGGUGAUCACGCCGUGGACCGCCGUCACGCCAAAAACUCGCUAUGUAAAACCCGCCUGGAGGACGGCCGGAGCACCCACUUCAUCGUGGGCUACAACCCCAUGGAGUUCUCCUCGGAAACGCAAAUGAAAUUCAAAGGAGACAAAAAGAACGAUGCAAACGUUCUACCGGCCGGAAAGACGGAGAGGAACGCCGCCGUGAAAUUCAAGCACGUGUCUAUGAGCGAGAACACACUGGACCUGAAGGCAGCAGACCCGUUUACCGUCAACAAACAGGAGAGUCUGAACGCACGCGCCGCGCACCGGGAUCCGCCCGUGGAACACGCCUUCACCACGUCUGUAAUGAAAGCCGAUUACCCCGCCCUGCACCAGAGAGGGGUGACGGACGCUCAGCUGAGGAUGAUCCAGGACACAGACCAGAAGCUGGGGCAGGAGAUAGCUUCUUCCCACCUGUUCCACACCGACAACUCCGGAAGGAACAACUUUAUAACGACAGCCAUGGAUGACUUUAUAAAACCCGAAACCAUGACGGGAGGUCGCAAGUUGCUUGCUGCUCGCUAAGCAUCGAGUCGGUGUCCUACUGUUGAUGUCUUAUCGGUAGUUAAACAGUGCGAUAGUACUCAAACUAUUAAUUCACAUCAGUAUUAUAUUUUUUAUGCAGAGCCAGAGGUCUCACAGCUACUCUUACACGAAAUAAUUAGGUUUAUUGUGUGAACAGUAUUCCAAUUGAACUUUUUAAUUUAUAAUUCCAUAUAUUUGAAUGUUUAAUUUCUAUCUUUUUACAACUUUUUUAAUUUUAUUUUACAAUUUUAUUUGUUAUCCGUAUAAACAGUUUAUGUAACCAAGCACAUCAGAAAAUCUGUGAAAUGCUUGGAAAUAUAAAACUGAUUUUAGUUUC
rnacentral:misc_RNA from 1 species